rnacentral:rRNA from 1 species
UACGUCGGGACCGAGCGUUGUCCGGAAUCAUUGGGCGUAAAGCGCGUGUAGGCGGUCCGGUAAGUCCGCUGUGAAAGUCGGGGGCUCAACCCUCGGAUGCCGGUGGAUACUGUCGGGCUUGAGUACGGAAGAGGCGAGUGGAAUUCCUGGUGUAGCGGUGAAAUGCGCAGAUAUCAGGAGGAACACCAAUUGCGAAGGCAGCUCGCUGGGACGUUACUGACGCUGAGACGCGAAAGCGUGGGGAGCAAACAGG